GGUCAAGCGAACAAGUGCAUGUGGUGGAUGCCUUGGCGAUCACAGGCGAUGAAGGACGCGGUAGCCUGCGAAAAGCCCCGGGGAGCUGGCAAACAAGCUUUGAUCCGGGGAUGUCCGAAUGGGGAAACCCACUCCGUAUGGAGUAUCCAUGACUGAAUACAUAGGUCAUGUGAAGCGAACGCGGUGAACUGAAACAUCUAAGUAACCGCAGGAAAAGAAAUCAACCGAGAUUCCCAAAGUAGUGGCGAGCGAAAUGGGAUGAGCCUUGUACUCUUUAUUUGUAUUGUUAGCCGAACGCUCUGGAAAGUGCGGCCAUAGCAGGUGAUAGCCCUGUAGGCGAAAACAGUAUGAAAGAACUAGGUGUACGACAAGUAGGGCGGGACACGUGAAAUCCUGUCUGAAGAUGGGGGGACCAUCCUCCAAGGCUAAAUACUCGUGAUCGACCGAUAGUGAACCAGUACCGUGAGGGAAAGGCGAAAAGAACCCCGGGAGGGGAGUGAAAUAGAUCCUGAAACCGCAUGCAUACAAACAGUCGGAGCCUCGUAAGGGGUGACGGCGUACCUUUUGUAUAAUGGGUCAGCGACUUACGUUCAGUAGCAAGCUUAACCGUAUAGGGCAGGCGUAGCGAAAGCGAGUCCGAAUAGGGCGUUCAGUUGCUGGGCGUAGACCCGAAACCAGGUGAUCUAUCCAUGGCCAGGAUGAAGGUGCGGUAACACGUACUGGAGGUCCGAACCCACUAACGUUGAAAAGUUAGGGGAUGAGCUGUGGAUAGGGGUGAAAGGCUAAACAAACCUGGAAAUAGCUGGUUCUCUCCGAAAACUAUUUAGGUAGUGCCUCGUGUCUCACCUUCGGGGGUAGAGCACUGUCAUGGUUGGGGGGUCUAUUGCAGAUUACCCCGCCAUAGCAAACUCCGAAUACCGAAGAGUGCAAUCACGGGAGACAGACAUCGGGUGCUAACGUCCGGUGUCAAGAGGGAAACAACCCAGACCGCCAGCUAAGGUCCCCAAAUAUGGCUAAGUGGGAAACGAAGUGGGAAGGCUAAAACAGUCAGGAGGUUGGCUUAGAAGCAGCCACCCUUUAAAGAAAGCGUAAUAGCUCACUGAUCGAGUCGUCCUGCGCGGAAGAUGUAACGGGGCUAAGCCAUAUACCGAAGCUGCGGAUGCGUGCUUGCACGCAUGGUAGGAGAGCGUUCCGUAAGCCUGCGAAGGUGCCUUGUAAAGGGUGCUGGAGGUAUCGGAAGUGCGAAUGCUGACAUGAGUAGCGAUAAAGGGGGUGAAAGGCCCCCUCGCCGUAAGCCCAAGGUUUCCUACGCAACGUUCAUCGGCGUAGGGUGAGUCGGCCCCUAAGGCGAGGCAGAAAUGCGUAGCUGAUGGGAAGCAGGUCAAUAUUCCUGCACCAUUGUUAGAUGCGAUGGGGGGACGGAUCGCGGAAGGUUGUCCGGGUGUUGGACGUCCCGGUCGCUGCAUUGGAGAAGGCGCUUAGGCAAAUCCGGGCGCAGGAUUCAAGGGUGUGGCGCGAGCGACUUCGGUCGCGAAGCAAUUGGAAGUGGUUCCAAGAAAAGCCUCUAAGCUUCAGUCUAACGAUGACCGUACCGCAAACCGACACAGGUGGGCGAGAUGAGUAUUCUAAGGCGCUUGAGAGAACUCGGGAGAAGGAACUCGGCAAAUUGGUACCGUAACUUCGGGAUAAGGUACGCCCUUGUAGCUUGACCAGCCUGCGCUGGAAGGGUGAAGGGGUUGCAAUAAACUGGUGGCUGCGACUGUUUAAUAAAAACACAGCACUCUGCAAACACGAAAGUGGACGUAUAGGGUGUGACGCCUGCCCGGUGCCGGAAGAUUAAAUGAUGGGGUGCAAGCUCUUGAUUGAAGUCCCGGUAAACGGCGGCCGUAACUAUAACGGUCCUAAGGUAGCGAAAUUCCUUGUCGGGUAAGUUCCGACCUGCACGAAUGGCGUAACGAUGGCCACACUGUCUCCUCCCGAGACUCAGCGAAGUUGAAGUGUUUGUGAUGAUGCAAUCUACCCGCGGCUAGACGGAAAGACCCCAUGAACCUUUACUGUAGCUUUGCAUUGGACUUUGAACCGAUCUGUGUAGGAUAGGUGGGAGGCUAUGAAACCGGAACGCUAGUUUCGGUGGAGCCGUCCUUGAAAUACCACCCUGGUUUGUUUGAGGUUCUAACCUUGGUCCGUGAUCCGGAUCGGGGACAGUGCAUGGUAGGCAGUUUGACUGGGGCGGUCUCCUCCCAAAGGGUAACGGAGGAGUACGAAGGUACGCUAGGUACGGUCGGAAAUCGUGCUGAUAGUGCAAUGGCAUAAGCGUGCUUAACUGCGAGACCGACAAGUCGAGCAGGUGCGAAAGCAGGUCAUAGUGAUCCGGUGGUUCUGUAUGGAAGGGCCAUCGCUCAACGGAUAAAAGGUACUCUGGGGAUAACAGGCUGAUACCGCCCAAGAGUUCAUAUCGACGGCGGUGUUUGGCACCUCGAUGUCGGCUCAUCUCAUCCUGGGGCUGUAGCCGGUCCCAAGGGUAUGGCUGUUCGCCAUUUAAAGAGGUACGUGAGCUGGGUUUAAAACGUCGUGAGACAGUUUGGUCCCUAUCUGCCGUGGGCGUUGGAUAUUUGAAGGGGGCUGCUCCUAGUACGAGAGGACCGGAGUGGACGAACCUCUGGUGUACCGGUUGUGACGCCAGUCGCAUCGCCGGGUAGCUAUGUUCGGAAGAGAUAACCGCUGAAAGCAUCUAAGCGGGAAACUCGCCUUAAGAUGAGAUAUCCCUGGAGGCUUGACCUCCUUGAAGGGUCGUUCGAGACCAGGACGUUGAUAGGUCGGGUGUGUAAGCGCAGUAAUGCGUUCAGCUAACCGAUACUAAUUGCCCGUAAGGCUUGAUCCU
rnacentral:rRNA from 1 species